rnacentral:ncRNA from 1 species
AAUAAAUUGUAAGGCAAAUCUCGUGGUUCGGAAUUUCCAUGUCAUGACAUGUCAAUCCUAUCUAGCGAAACCACAGCGAAGGGAACGGGCUUCGCAAAAUCAGCGGGGAAAGAAGACCCUGUUGAGCUUGACUCUAGUUUGACAUUGUGAAAAGACAUAUGGGGUGUAGGAUAGGUGGGAGCUCCGGCGCCAGUGAAAUACCACUACCUUUAUCGUUUUUUUACUUAUUCAAUGAAGCGGAACUGGGCUUCACCGCCCAUCUUCUGGCGUUAAGGUCCUUCGCGGGCCGAUCCGGGUUGAA